rnacentral:rRNA from 1 species
UACGUAGGGGGCAAGCGUUGUCCGGAAUCAUUGGGCGUAAAGAGCGUGUAGGCGGCCAGAAAAGUCCGCUGUGAAAACUCGAGGCUCAACUUCGAGCUGUCGGUGGAAACUUUCUGGCUAGAGUCCGGAAGAGGAGAAUGGAAUUCCUGGUGUAGCGGUGAAAUGCGCAGAUAUCAGGAAGAACACCCGUGGCGAAGGCGGUUCUCUGGGACGGUACUGACGUUGAGACGCGAAAGCGUGGGGAGCGAACAGG